rnacentral:rRNA from 1 species
GACGAACGCUGGCGGCGUGCCUAAUACAUGCAAGCCGAACGAGAGCGACCGGUGCUUGCACUGGUCAAUCUAGUGGCGAACGGGUGAGUAACACGUGGGUAACCUGCCCAUCAGAGGGGGAUAACAUUCGGAAACGGAUGCUAAAACCGCAUAGGUCUUCGAACCGCAUGGUUUGAAGAGGAAAAGAGGCGCAAGCUUCUGCUGAUGGAUGGACCCGCGGUGCAUUAGCUAGUUGGUGAGGUAACGGCUCACCAAGGCCGUGAUGCAUAGCCGACCUGAGAGGGUGAUCGGCCACAUUGGGACUGAGACACGGCCAAACUCCUACGGGAGGCAGCAGUAGGGAAUCUUCGGCAAUGGACGAAAGUCUGACCGAGCAACGCCGCGUGAGUGAAGAAGGUUUUCGGAUCGUAAAGCUCUGUUGUAAGAGAAGAACGGGUGUGAGAGUGGAAAGUUCACACUGUGACGGUAUCUUACCAGAAAGGGACGGCUAACUACGUGC